AUUGAACGCUGGCGGCAGGCCUAACACAUGCAAGUCGAGCGGAUGAAGGGAGCUUGCUCCUGGAUUCAGCGGCGGACGGGUGAGUAAUGCCUAGGAAUCUGCCUGGUAGUGGGGGAUAACGUCCGGAAACGGGCGCUAAUACCGCAUACGUCCUGAGGGAGAAAGUGGGGGAUCUUCGGACCUCACGCUAUCAGAUGAGCCUAGGUCGGAUUAGCUAGUUGGUGGGGUAAAGGCCUACCAAGGCGACGAUCCGUAACUGGUCUGAGAGGAUGAUCCGUCACACUGGAACUGAGACACGGUCCAGACUACUACGGGAGGCAGCAGUGGGGAAUGUUGGACAAUGGGCGAAAGCCUGAUCCAGCGAUGCCGCGUGUGUGAAGAAGGUCUUCGGGUUGUAAAGCACUUUAAGUUGGGAGGAAGGGCAGUAAGUUAAUACCUUGCUGUUUUGACGUUACCAACAGAAUAAGCACCGGCUAACUUCGUG
rnacentral:rRNA from 1 species